rnacentral:rRNA from 1 species
UACGUAGGGUGCGAGCGUUAAUCGGAAUUACUGGGCGUAAAGCGUGCGCAGGCGGUUCGUUGUGUCGGCGGUGAAAUCCCCGGGCUCAACCUGGGAAUGGCCGUUGAAAACUGGCGAACUGGAGUGUGGCAGAGGGGGGGUGGAAAUUCCGCGUGUAGCAGUGAAAAUGCGUAGAGAUGCGGGAGGAACACCCGAUGGCGAAGGCAGCCCCCCCUGGGGCUGACACUGACGCUCAGGCACGAAAAGCGUGGGGGGAGC